GGAAGUUCCUUGCUCUUGCUGCGGUAGCUUGAAGUAUGCACAUCGGAGAUGUGUGCAAAGGUGGUGUAACGAGAAGGGUGAUACCAUUUGUGAGAUAUGCCACCAGCCUUUUAGGCCUGGUUAUACGGCACCUCCCCCAAUUUUUCGACUUGGAGGCAUCCCAAUGAACUUUAGGGGAAACUGGGGAAUUGUUAGAAGAGACUUGAAUAACCCU
rnacentral:misc_RNA from 1 species